UGAGCAAUCUGCCCUUCUCAUCGGAAUAAGCGUUGGAAACGACGUCUAAUGCCGAAUACGACCUCCUUUCGCAUGAUCGGAGGUGGCAAGCUCCGGCGGAGAAGGAUGAGCUCGCGGCCUAUCAGCUAGUUGGUGUGGGUAAUGGCCCACCAAGGCGACGACGGGUAGCCGGCCUGAGAGGGUGACCGGCCACACUGGGACUGAGACACGGCCCAGCUCCGUAGGGAGG
rnacentral:rRNA from 1 species